GACGAACGCUGGCGGCGUGCUUAACACAUGCAAGUCGAACGAUGAAGCCGGAGCUUGCUCUGGUGAAUUAGUGGCGAACGGGUGAGUAACACGUGAGUAACCUGCCCUUGACUCUGGAAUAACUGCUAGAAAUGGUAGCUAAUACCGGAUACGACCCUCGGAGGCAUCUUCAGGGGGUGGAAAGAAUUUCGGUCAAGGAUGGACUCGCGGCCUAUCAGCUAGUUGGUGAGGUAACGGCUCACCAAGGCGACGACGGGUAGCCGGCCUGAGAGGGUGACCGGCCACACUGGGACUGAGGCACGGCCCAGACUCCUACGGGAGGCAGCAGUGGGGAAUAUUGCACAAUGGGCGCAAGCCUGAUGCAGCAACGCCGCGUGAGGGAUGACGGCCUUCGGGUUGUAAACCUCUUUUAGUAGGGAAGAAGCGAAAGUGACGGUACCUGCAGAAAAAGCACCGGCUAACUACGUGCCAGCCGCCGCCGUAA
rnacentral:rRNA from 1 species